rnacentral:SRP_RNA from 1 species
GCUGGGUGUGGUGGCGCAUGCCUGUAAUCCCAACUACUCAGGAGGCUGAGGCAGGAGAAUCGCUUGAACCUGGGAGGCAGAGGUUGCAGUGAGCCCAGAUUGUGCCACUGCACUCCAGCCUGGGUGACAGAGCGAGACUCCGUCUCAA